CUCUUGUAGUUUAACCAUUUCAAAUGUUUCCGUCAGUCUGUACAAUGAAAUCGAUGAUCCACAGAUGAUUUUGAACGAUAUUUUUUACUGACUCGCUCUGUAUGUCGAUAGUUCAAUGCUCUACGUAAAACAAGAAUUGAUGUACUGAGAGUGAAAGAGUAGAAGCUGUAUCACGUCGUGACGUUUUCAAGUGUCAACUAAUCCUGGACACGAGCUCUAAACACGGGGACAAGCGAGAAACUAGAAAACGGCGCGACAGGCUCGUAAAUCGAACGAUUUAACUUCGGCCGAGCCUCGUCCCCCGGACUCUUCCUUCGAGCUUGUCCCGAUGAACCAGUGAAUCCGCGAAAAAGAGUAGGGAGAACCAUCCCCCGUUAAUGCCAAAGUAAUGACUGGGGUGGCAACGUUCGAGGAUACUCUCGUCGAGUCGCCAUUGCCACUGCUUCUAGCCUGCACUCCACCCUUCGAGCCACCCCAAUGGAGCAUUUCGUGGGGUGGAACGCACACGCGUAUCCAGUGUCAACCGUGUCAAAUGUAUUGAUUCGAAUCAAAUUAUUUAAGAGAACAGUUAUGGACCGACGACUCGUUACAUUCUAAUAUUUGGUUCGAAAUAUGGACUUGGUAACUGAAAAUCGAUGAAGAAAUUCUAUGGCAGAGUCUUUUCCGGAAGCUGGAAAGUUCCACCUGGCUGUGUCAAGGGCCCGAAAAGGACCAUGCCUAUCUCAGCCGAAGUCCUAAUCGUAAACAACGGUAUGGCCGAUCGGUCGCCAUUAAGUCGGCGAUUCGAAGGGAGCGAAAGGGCCGGGCCGCUCGUUUCGCCUCUCCAUUUCCUGUUGCUGGAAAGUUUCGCCCUUGGGCGUCCCGAAAAGAAGGGCCGCGCAGGUG